rnacentral:lncRNA from 1 species
GUUACGGUCAAUACCAUAAUGUUGAUAAUAUCCUUAGGCAACCAGAUGAGCUUUUUAGAUCUCCACUUUCUCAUCUGUGCUACUCUAAUCUUAUUGAAGAUCUACUUAUACUCUAUAGGCUUUACCCUUCGAGUGAAUCAGUGAAUGUCCAUACACCGUUGACCUUCAUAGACUCAAUUUCAGACUCUAUAGCUCCAAGCUAUUAAUCGG